GAUGAACGCUGGCGGCGUGCCUAAUACAUGCAAGUCGAGCGAAAAGAUGAGGCGCUUGCUCCUCUGACGUUAGCGGCGGACGGGUGAGUAACACGUGGAUAACCUACCUAUAAGACUGGGAUAACUUCGGGAAACCGGAGCUAAUACCGGAUAAUAUAUUGAACCGCAUGGUUCAAUAGUGAAAGACGGUUUUGCUGUCACUUAUAGAUGGAUCCGCGCCGCAUUAGCUAGUUGGUAAGGUAACGGCUUACCACGGCAACUAUGCGUAGCCGACCUGAGAGGGUGAUCGGCCACAUUGGAACUUAGACACGGUCCAUACUCCUACGGGAGGCAGCAGUAGGGAAUCUUCCGCAAUGGUCGAAAGCCUGACGGAGCAACGCCGCGUGUGUGAUGAAGGUCUUCGGAUCGUAAAACUCUGUUAUUAGGGAAGAACAAAUGUGUAAGGAACUAUGCACGUCUUGACGGUACCUAAUCAGAAAGCCACGGCUAACUACGUG
rnacentral:rRNA from 1 species